AUGGAUGCGAAGGGGGAUCACCGCUUGGGAGAAACAGGACCUUCCUUCCCAAAACUGCCGGAGGGGACCAGGCCAAGCGACAGACGCCACAUCCCUGCCUCACGCAGGGUUUAUUUGGCUCUCUCGCGAGCAGCCUCCCCCGCCUCAGUCACUUCCAUCGAUGCCCAGCUCCCUCUCCCACCACCGUGCCCGAAAUGUUUGAACAGCCCGGGCUCGCCCCCACCGAGGCGGGACAGGGAGGCGGCCCCGCCGCCACCGCACACAAAGCGGCCGCUCGCCGCCACCGGCCUGCUGCGAGCGACGCCCCAGUCCCCGCCUCAACCUGCAGCCUAUGAGCAAGGAGGCACCGCCCCGAGCGGCGGCGGGAUCGGGAUCGGGAUCGGGAUCGUACCCGCGCCUGCCGCCGCGCACCGCCGAGGAGAGCGCCGCGCUCCCGUCCCGUCCCGGCCCGUCCCGUCCCGCGGCCCCGCGCCGGGGGAAGGAGGCGAGAGAGCGCCGCUUCAAAGCCAGGCAGUGACAGUCAUCUGUCUGCGAGCAGAGGGUGGAUGCGGAGGCCGGGGCGGCCGCGGGGGCCGGCGGGCGGGCGCGGAAAGUGCUACAGACACCAUCAGCUGCUUUUUUUUUCUCCUCUCCCCUUCCCCCCGCCACUCCUCCCCCUCGCACACCCACCACCAUCACCACGGAGGUAAGAAGAGGAAGCUGCAGGCUCUGGGCUGCAGGACAAAACCCCAGUCAAAUAAAUCCAAUUCCCCAUCGCGUUUGAGUUGCCGAACUGGGAAGGAUGGGGUGGGAAGGGGAGCGCAGGGGCAGACCGGUGCCUGAAUGGGGUUCUCAUUGAGCAGAAGAAAAUCCUGGAGGAUAUUUGUGUUUUGGUUUGGAGCUGUCGCAUUUAGAUCGCCGGUGUUUUGUAGGUGCCUCUUUACUGCUUUGCAUUUUAAACAGUUUAAUGUAUUUCCCGAGUAGAAAAAUGCACAGUCCUGGAGGCGCUCAGGGGGCGGGGCGGGAGCGCAGCUGAGCCGAGCCGGGCGCGUUUCUCGGCGUUUCAUCAUAAGGCUUUUCAUGGAUUUUUUUUUCCCCCGUUUUGGUCUCCGUCUCGGCGUCAGCUGUUGUGAACCCAGCAGAACGAUUUCCUUUCGCGUUACCUUAACCGAGCUGAAGGGAGACGCUGACUGGAUUUUUUUGACUUUAAACCUUUUUCUUUUUUUUUUCUUCUUUUUUUUUUUCCUUUUUUUUUAAUGUCUGAUGCAACGGAGCUCUCGGCAGAGGAAUGGGGCUGUGUUUGACUGGCCGUGGGUAGUGAGUGGGGGGUCCGGCCGCGGUAAGGGCAGCAGAGCGCACUCUCCGGAGGUGAGAGAGCUGGAGAGCUGGUGUGUUUGCAGGAGGUUUGAGUGCAUGAAGUGGCAGAGUGUGCGGAGUUGCUGUCUUUGCAACCUCGCUGUUGCAGGAAAAAGGGGGAGAUAAAACUUCCCGUGCCUUCUUGGCAAAUCAGGAGGCUUUGUUGGUGGCGCCGGGGUGGUUUUAAUGCAUUUUUGUGCGUGAGGUUAUUACAUAAGGUUGAUAAUUUCUGUUGCUGCUGGAUUUCCCCUCCUCCCCCCUCCCCCCUUGUGUUGUGUGCGGAUUUCGCUGGCUCGCUUUGAGUGAAUGAACUGGCGAUUUGCGAAGUUGCAAAGAACCCCUCCGCCCCCUUUUUUUUUUUUUUUUUUUUUUUUUUUUUUUUUUUUUUGCAUCCUUCUCUCCCCUUUGCACUGCUCCGCAGAUGACAAAAGGAGUAAACUUCCUCUACUUUAGCUAGCAUAUUAAGAAGCCUUUCUGGAGAGAUUAC
rnacentral:lncRNA from 1 species